AAGGAUUUAGUUUAAUAAAUGUGUUUGAUUUGCAUUCAAGGAUGUAGGAUAAAGUCUUAUAAUCCUUA
rnacentral:tRNA from 1 species